rnacentral:tRNA from 1 species
UGGAUAGUUUAAAUUAAAAUUUUGAUUUGUGGUGUCAAGGAUGUUAUUGUUUAACUUCAAAUAA